rnacentral:rRNA from 1 species
UACGUAGGGUGCAAGCGUUGUCCGGAAUUAUUGGGCGUAAAGAGCUCGUAGGCGGUCUGUCGCGUCGGCUGUGAAAACUCGGGGCUCAACUCCGAGCUUGCAGUCGAUACGGGCAGGCUAGAGUUCGGCAGGGGAGACUGGAAUUCCUGGUGUAGCGGUGAAAUGCGCAGAUAUCAGGAGAAACACCAGUGGCGAAGGCGGCCGGCUGGGGGUGCCCUGACGCUGAGGCGCGAAAGCGUGGGGAGCGAACCGG